rnacentral:rRNA from 1 species
GAAAGCCUGCAGCUCAACUGUGGAACUGCCAUUGAUACUGCUUCUCUUGAGUUUGGUUGAGGUAGACGGAAUGUGUAAUGUAGCGGUGAAAUGCUUAGAUAUUACACAGAACACCGAUUGCGAAGGCAGCUUACUAAACCGAUACUGACGCUGAUGCACGAAAGCGUGGGGAGCGAACAGGAUUAGAUACCCUGGUAGUCCACGCUGUAAACUAUGAUCACUCGCUGUUGGCAAUACAUCGUCAGCGGCUGAGCGAAAGCAUUAAGUGAUCCACCUGGGGAGUACGGUCGCAAGAUUGAAACUCAAAGGAAUUGACGGGGGCCCGCACAAGCGGUGGAACAUGUGGUUUAAUUCGAUGAUACGCGAGGAACCUUACCUGGGCUUAAAUGUAGACUGCAUUUCCGGGAAACCGGAAUUUCCUUCGGGACCGUCUACAAGGUGCUGCAUGGUUGUCGUCAGCUCGUGCCGUGAGGUGUCGGGUUAAGUCCCAUAACGAGCGCAACCCCUAUCGUUAGUUGCCAGCGAGUAAUGUCGGGGACUCUAGCGAAACUGCCGGUGUAGACCGAGAGGAAGGUGGGGAUGACGUCAAAUCAGCACGGCCCUUAUGUCCAGGGCUACACACGUGUUACAAUGGUCAGUACAAAGGGCAGCUACCUGGUGACAGGAUGCUAAUCUCGAAAACUGGUCUCAGUUCGGAUUGGAGUCUGCAAUUCGACUCCAUGAAGCUGGAAUCGCUAGUAAUCGCGCAUCAGCAACGGCGCGGUGAUACGUUCCCGGGCCUUGUACACACCGCCCGUCAAGCCAUGGAAGCUGGGGGUGCCUGAAGUCCGUAGCCGAAAGGA